CAGCCGCCGCGGUAAUACGUAGGGUGCGAGCGUUAAUCGGAUUUACUGGGCGUAAAGCGUGCGCAGGCGGCCCGUUAAGACAGGUGUGAAAUCCCUGGGCUCAACCUAGGAAUUGCGCUUGUGACUGGCGGGCUCGAGUACGGUAGAGGGGGAUGGAAUUCCUGGUGUAGCAGUGAAAUGCGUAGAGAUCAGGAGGAACACCGAUGGCGAAGGCAGCCCCCUGGGCCUGGACUGACGCUCAUGCACGAAAGCGUGGGGAGCAAACAGGAUUAGAUACCCUGGUAGUCCACGCCCUAAACGAUGGGUACUAGCCGUUUGGUGCGCGAGAGCGCUGAGUGGCGAAGCUAACGCGAGAAGUACCCCGCCUGGGGAGUACGGCCGCAAGGUUGAAACUUAAAGGAAUUGGCGGG
rnacentral:rRNA from 1 species